rnacentral:rRNA from 1 species
UACAGAGGUCCCGAGCGUUGUUCGGAUUCACUGGGCGUAAAGGGUGCGUAGGUGGUUGUGCAAGUCUGAUGUGAAAUCUCCGGGCUUAACCCGGAAAUGGCAUUGGAAACUGCAUGGCUAGAGUGUUGGAGGGGGGACUGGAAUUCUCGGUGUAGUGGUGAAAUGCGUAGAUAUCGGGAGGAACACCAGUGGCGAAGGCGACUACCUGGCCUGUUCUUGACGCUGAGGCGCGAAAGCUAGGGGAGCAAACGGG